CAUCAAAUCCUUGUGUUGACCCUAAAAUCACUAGACAGCUCCUAACUGGUUUGAAGAGGGCACCUAAGCCUCCAAUCCGGUCUAAUGAACUGAGUUGACCAGGUAAGCUCUCAGGUAAGUGGGGGGGUCACGAUGCGUUGCAAAGGUCCCACUUAAAAACCACUUGCCUCGAACAGAUGAACUGUCUCCCUUGGGACAAAGCUUGCCUAUACAUCAACUGAGCCACAGAGCGAAAUUGGUGCAACUUUCGGUGAUCUUCGUCCUAUUGAGCUCGAAUGUCCCUAGGGGCCAUCGUCUAAUUG
rnacentral:lncRNA from 1 species